GAUGAACGCUAGCUACAGGCUUAACACAUGCAAGUCGAGGGGAAACGAUAGAGAAAGCUUGCUUUUUCUAGGCGUCGACCGGCGCACGGGUGAGUAACGCGUAUCCAACCUGCCCAUCACUUGGGGAUAACCUUGCGAAAGUAAGACUAAUACCCAAUGAUAUCUCUAGAAGACAUCUGAAAGGGAUUAAAGAUUUAUCGGUGAUGGAUGGGGAUGCGUCUGAUUAGCUUGUUGGCGGGGUAACGGCCCACCAAGGCGACGAUCAGUAGGGGUUCUGAGAGGAAGGUCCCCCACAUUGGAACUGAGACACGGUCCAAACUCCUACGGGAGGCAGCAGUGAGGAAUAUUGGUCAAUGGACGAGAGUCUGAACCAGCCAAGUAGCGUGCAGGAUGACGGCCCUAUGGGUUGUAAACUGCUUUUAUAAGGGAAUAAAGUGAGCCUCGUGAGGCUUUUUGCAUGUACCUUAUGAAUAAGGACCGGCUAAUUCCGUGCCAGCAGCCGCCGUAA
rnacentral:rRNA from 1 species